rnacentral:rRNA from 1 species
GACGAACGCUGGCGGCGUGCUUAACACAUGCAAGUCGAACGAUGAAGCCGGAGCUUGCUCUGGUGAAUUAGUGGCGAACGGGUGAGUAAUGCAUCGGAACGUACCGUGUAAUGGGGGAUAACGUAGCGAAAGUUACGCUAAUACCGCAUACGACCUGAGGGUGAAAGCAGGGGAUCGCAAGACCUUGCGUUAUACGAGCGGCCGAUGUCAGAUUAGCUAGUUGGUGAGGUAAAGGCUCACCAAGGCGACGAUCUGUAGCGGGUCUGAGAGGAUGAUCCGCCACACUGGGACUGAGACACGGCCCAGACUCCUACGGGAGGCAGCAGUGGGGAAUUUUGGACAAUGGGGGCAACCCUGAUCCAGCCAUGCCGCGUGAGUGAAGAAGGCCUUCGGGUUGUAAAGCUCUUUCGGCCGGGAAGAAAUCGCACAGGCUAAUACUCUGUGUGGAUGACGGUACCGGCAUAAGAAGCACCGGCUAACUACGUGCCAGCAGCCGCGGUAA